GACUAAAAGGCUUCCCCCAGUAAUGGCGAAUGAACAGGGAUAAGCUCAGCCUGGAAAUUGGGGCCCCAGGCCCUGAAGUGUAGUCUUAAGAUGUGUUGCUUGCGGAGGUGCUGGUGUAAGCCUCUUGGAAGAGAGUACCAGCGAGGGCGAGAGUCCUGUUCGCCACCAGCGAACCUCCGCGCGCGGCGCACGCUCCAAGAGUCACGCUUCUCGGGAUUGGAGCGCAAAGCAGGUGGUAAGUUUCAUCGAAGGCUCAAGAUGAGUUCGAGACCGAUAGCAAACAAGUACCAUGAGGGAAAGGUGAAAAGGACUUUGAAAAGAGAGUUAGAAGUGCCUGAAAUUGCUGAAAGGGAAGCAAGCGGCGCCAGCCUGACUAGGUGAGACUGCUGUCUGCAGCUUCUUCGCCCUGCUGCUGCAGUGCAGUUGUAAGGUGCAAGGAGGACGAGGGCAGUGCUUCUUGCCACGCAUGUCCACACUGGUGCGCGCGCGAGGAUGCUCGCAGGGACAAGGUACAUCGCCUCUGGGUGGUCGAACGUGCCUGCGCGAACUCGCUUGCGCGCUAUGUGUUGACCUCGCAGUUUCGCUUGACCCGUCUUGAAACACGGACCAAGGAGUCUAACAUAUGUGCAAGUGCGCGGGUGGCAAGCUUGCGCGCGCAGUGAAAGCGACCGCUGGGAAACUCUCGCACCAGCAACCGACCAAUCAACUGAGUGAGGUUUGAGUGUGGGCAUAUUUGUUAGGACCCGAAAGAUGGUGAACUAUGCCUGUGCAGGGCAAACUCAGGGGAAACUCUGGUGGAGGCUCGUCGCGCUACUGACGUGCAAAUCGUUCGUCAAACUUGGGUAUAGGGGCGAAAGACUAAUCGAACCAUCUAGUAGCUGGUUCCCUCCGAAGUUUCCCUCAGGAUAGCUGGAGCUGAUCAGUUUUACCAUGUAAAGCGAAUGAUUAGAGGAAUCGGGGACGCGUCGUCCUCGACCUAUUCUCAAACUUUAAAUGGGUAAGAUCCAGUGGUUGCUUGGCUGAACUUCUGGGAUAAAUGGCAGCUCUACGUGGGCCACUUUUGGUAAGCAGAACUGGCGAUGAGGGAUGAACCUAACGUCGGGCUAAGGUGCUUAACUGCUCGCUCAUCAGAUACCAUAAAGGGUGUUGGUUCAUUUUAACAGCAGGACGGUGGUCAUGGAAGUCGAAAUCCGCUAAGGAGUGUGUAACAACUCACCUGCCGAAUGGACUAGCCCCGAAAAUGGAUGGCGCUUAAGCGGGCGACUGAUGCUCGACCAUUGCUGCACUGGUGCUGCAUCAAUGAGUAGGAGGGCAUGGGGGUCUGUGAUGAAGC
rnacentral:rRNA from 1 species